UAAAAAUUUGUCUUUAUUGAAGUUAUAUUUUUUAAUAUAGAUACAAUAUUCUUUAUGAAAUUAUUUGAAAGCAUUAAAGGGUACUACUCUUUGAUAAGUAUAUGGACAUAAUUCUUUAAUAGUAUACGUGUCAACCUAUUGCUGAUAACUAGUAAGGUAUAACACAUUCAAGUUAAGAUGUAGAACUUUUGAAAAUAACUGUGAAUGCCCAGGUACAAUAUUGUAUCUCCUUGGCUAAAUUUCAACUGCUUUCAGCCCUUGUUUAAUUCAGCCUUGAUUUUUUCCUGCCAGGGUAAGUACAAGCUAACCUUGGACUCACACUGAACAUUUGCUUAUUGUCAACAGUCUUCCAGGUUUCUAGUCCAUGUCCAGCUCCUGGUACUGCUUGGUAUUUUACCGUUCCUGCCUUUUGUAGCAGCUUGGAAUAAAAGGUGCACGGAGGAGGCUGUGCUAGAAUCAUUUGUCCUGGGGAAUCUUCCAGGCCAGAAGAAGCGUGCAUCGGAACUCAUGAGAAUUUAUGUCAAUCAGUGCUCCAGUCUCAAAGGAUUUGACCUCUCACGAGUGAAACUACGAUUUAGUCUGAUUGCCACCAGGGGGCAGCAUUAUGUCUCAGCUAUGUGGUGCCUGUAUAUAUUUCAAUAACUAUUCAAUUCAUUAAGCAUUUAGUAAGCACCUAUGGUGUGCCAGGUGCUAGGUUCAGGAGAUAUGAAAAGAAAAACAAAACAGUUCCUGCCCUCAAGGAGCUUACA
rnacentral:lncRNA from 1 species